rnacentral:rRNA from 1 species
GGAAUUUUCCGCAAUGGGGGAAACCCUGACGCAGCAACGCCGCGUGAGUGAUGAAGGCUUUCGGGUCGUAAAGCUCUGUCAGAAGGGAAGAAAGACUGACGGUACCUUCAAAGGAAGCACCGGCUAACUCCGUGCCAGCAGCCGCGGUAAUACGGAGGGUGCGAGCGUUGUUCGGAAUUAUUGGGCGUAAAGCGUCCGCAGGCGGUCUGUCAAGUCUGCUGUUAAAGCGUGGAGCUUAACUCCAUUUCGGCAGUGGAAACUGACAGACUAGAGUGUGGUAGGGGCAGAGGGAAUUCCCGGUGUAGCGGUGAAAUGCGUAGAUAUCGGGAAGAACACCAGUGGCGAAGGCGCUCUGCUGGGCCAUAACUGACGCUCAUGGACGAAAGCCAGGGGAGCGAAAGGGAUUAGAUACCCCAGUAGUC